GAUGAACGCUGGCGGCGUGCCUAAUACAUGCAAGUCGAGCGAACAGACGAGGAGUUUGCUCCUCUGACGUUAGCGGCGGACGGGUGAGUAACACGUGGAUAACAUAACUAUAAGACUGGGAUAACUUCGGGAAACCGGAGCUAAUACCGGAUAAUAUAUUGAACCGCAUGGUUCAAUAGUGAAAGACGGUUUUGCUGUCACUUAUAGAUGGAUCCGCGCCGCAUUAGCUAGUUGGUAAGGUAACGGCUUACCAAGGCAACGAUGCGUAGCCGACCUGAGAGGGUGAUCGGCCACACUGGAACUGAGACACGGUCCAGACUCCUACGGGAGGCAACAGUAGGGAAUCUUCCGCAAUGGGCGAAAGCCUGACGUAGCAACGCCGCGUGAAUGAUGAAGGUCUUCUGAUCGUAAAGCUCUGUUAUUAUGGAAGAACAAAUGUGUAAGUAACUAUGCACGUCUUGACGGUACCUAAUCAGAAAGCCACGGCUAACUACGUG
rnacentral:rRNA from 1 species